rnacentral:piRNA from 1 species
AACACGGGGGACAACCGAAAACUGAUU